AUGAACGCUGGCGGCGUGCUUAACACAUGCAAGUCGAACGAUGAACCUCACUUGUGGGGGGAUUAGUGGCGAACGGGUGAGUAACACGUGAGUAACCUGCCCUUGACUCUGGGAUAAGCCUGGGAAACUGGGUCUAAUACCGGAUAUGACUCCUCAUCGCAUGGUGGGGGGUGGAAAGCUUUUUGUGGUUUUGGAUGGACUCGCGGCCUAUCAGCUUGUUGGUGAGGUAAUGGCUCACCAAGGCGACGACGGGUAGCCGGCCUGAGAGGGUGACCGGCCACACUGGGACUGAGACACGGCCCAGACUCCUACGGGAGGCAGCAGUGGGGAAUAUUGCACAAUGGGCGAAAGCCUGAUGCAGCGACGCCGCGUGAGGGAUGACGGCCUUCGGGUUGUAAACCUCUUUCAGUAGGGAAGAAGCGAAAGUGACGGUACCUGCAGAAGAAGCGCCGGCUAACUACGU
rnacentral:rRNA from 1 species